rnacentral:rRNA from 1 species
CAGUAGCCACGGUAAUACGAAGGGGGCUAGCGUUGUUCGGAAUUACUGGGCGUAAAGGGCGCGUAGGCGGCCAUUCAAGUUAGAUGUGAAAGCCCUGGGCUCAACCUAGGAAUUGCAUUUGAUACUGUUUGGCUUGAGUUCGGGAGAGGUGAGUGGAAUUCCCAGUGCAGAGGUGAAAUUCGUAGAGAUUGGGAAGAACACCAGUGGCGAAGGCGUCUCACUGGACAAUAACUGACGCUGAUGCACGAAAGCUAGGGGAGCAGACAGGAUUAGAUACCCGUGUAGUCCCUGUCUCUUAUAC